rnacentral:rRNA from 1 species
GAUGAACGCUGGCGGCGUGCCUAAUACAUGCAAGUCGAGCGAACAGACGAGGAGCUUGCUCCUCUGACGUUAGCCGCGGGCGGGUGAGUAACACGUGUAUAACCUACCUAUAAGACUGGGAUAACUUCGGGAAACCGGAGCUAAUACCGGAUAAUAUAUUGAACCGCAUGGUUCAAUAGUGAAAGACGGCUUUGCUGUCACUUAUAGAUGGAUCUCGGCCGUAUUAGCUGGUUGGUAAGGUAACGGCUUACCAAGGCAACGAUGCGUAGCCGACCUGAGAGGGUGAUCGGCCACACGGGAACGGAGACACGGUCAAGACUCCUACGGGAGGCAGCAGUAGGGAAUCUUCCGCAAUGGGCGAAAGCCUGACGGAGCAACGCCGCGUGAGUGAUGAAGGCCUUCGGAGCGUAAAACCCUGUUAUUAGGUAAGAACAAAUGUGUAAGUAACUAUGCACGUAUUGACGGUACCUAAUAAGAAAGCCACGGCUAACUACGUG